UACGGGGGGGCAAGCGUUGUUCGGAAUUACUGGGCGUAAAGGGCGCGUAGGCGGCCCGCUAAGUCAGACGUGAAAUCCCUCGGCUCAACCGGGGAACUGCGUCUGAUACUGGCAGGCUUGAAUCCGGGAGAGGGAUGUGGAAUUCCAGGUGUAGCGGUGAAAUGCGUAGAUAUCUGGAGGAACACCGGUGGCGAAGGCGGCAUCCUGGACCGGUAUUGACGCUGAGGCGCGAAAGCCAGGGGAGCAAACGGG
rnacentral:rRNA from 1 species